AGCGAACGCUGGCGGCAGGCCUAACACAUGCAAGUCGAACGAAGUCUUCAGACUUAGUGGCGGACGGGUGAGUAACACGUGGGAACGUGCCCUUUGGUACGGAAUAACUCAGGGAAACUUGAGCUAAUACCGUAUGUGCCCUUCGGGGGAAAGAUUUAUCGCCAUUGGAGCGGCCCGCGUCUGAUUAGCUAGUUGGUGAGGUAAAGGCUCACCAAGGCGACGAUCAGUAGCUGGUCUGAGAGGAUGAUCAGCCACAUUGGGACUGAGACACGGCCCAAACUCCUACGGGAGGCAGCAGUGGGGAAUCUUGCGCAAUGGGCGAAAGCCUGGCGCAGCCAUGCCGCGUGAAUGAUGAAGGUCUUAGGAUUGUAAAAUUCUUUCACCGGGGACGAUAAUGACGGUACCCGGAGAAGAAGCCCCGGCUAACUUCGUGCCAGCAGCCGCCGUAA
rnacentral:rRNA from 1 species